UACAGAGGUCCCAAGCGUUGUUCGGAUUCAUUGGGCGUAAAGGGUGCGUAGGCGGCGCGGUAAGUCGGGUGUGAAAUCUCGGGGCUUAACUCCGAAACUGCAUUCGAUACUGCCGUGCUUGAGGACUGGAGAGGAGACUGGAAUUUACGGUGUAGCGGUGAAAUGCGUAGAUAUCGUAGGGAAGACCAGUGGGGAAGGCGGGUCUCUGGACAGUUCCUGACGCUGAGGCACGAAGGCCGGGGGAGCAAACGGG
rnacentral:rRNA from 1 species